rnacentral:rRNA from 1 species
GAUGAACGCUGGCGGCGUGCUUAACACAUGCAAGUCGAACGGAAAGGCUCCUGCCUGCAGGGGUACUCGAGUGGCGAACGGGUGAGUAACACGUGGGUGAUCUGCCCUGUACUUCGGGAUAAGCUUGGGAAACUGGGUCUAAUACCGGAUAUGACAAUCUCUUGGAUGGGGUUGUGGAAAGCUUUUGCGGUAUGGGAUGAGCUCGCGGCCUAUCAGCUUGUUGGUGGGGUAAUGGCCUACCAAGGCGUCGACGGGUAGCCGGCCUGGGAGGGUGUACGGCCACAUUGGGACUGAGAUACGGCCCAGACUCCUACGGGAGGCAGCAGUGGGGAAUAUUGCACAAUGGGCGCAAGCCUGAUGCAGCGACGCCGCGUGGGGGAUGACGGCCUUCGGGUUGUAAACUCCUUUCGCAACCGACGAAGCUUUUGUGACGGUAGGUUGAGAAGAAGCACCGGCUAACUACGUG